GACAGAGGAUGCAAGCGUUAUCCGGAAUUAUUGGGCGUAAAGCGUCUGUAGGCGGCUUUUUAAGUCCGCCGUCAAAUCCCAGGGCUCAACCCUGGACAGGCGGUGGAAACUACCAAGCUGGAGUACGGUAGGGGCAGAGGGAAUUUCCGGUGGAGCGGUGAAAUGCGUAGAGAUCGGGAAGAACACCAGCGGCGAAAGCGCUCUGCUGGGCCGACACUGACGCUGAGAGACGAAAGCUAGGGGAGCGAAUAGG
rnacentral:rRNA from 1 species